rnacentral:rRNA from 1 species
GGUUAAGCGAACAAGCGUACACGGUGGAUGCCCUGGCAGUCAGAGGCGAUGAAGGACGUGCUAAUCUGCGAAAAGCGCCGGUAAGGUGAUAUGAACCGUUAUAACCGGCGAUGUCCGAAUGGGGAAACCCGGUGCACUUCGGUGCAUCAUCGUUAGCUGAAUACAUAGGCUAACGAGGCGAACCGGGGGAACUGAAACAUCUAAGUACCCCGAGGAAAAGAAAUCAACCGAGAUUCCCCCAGUAGCGGCGAGCGAACGGGGAACAGCCCAGAGCCUGAAUCAGCUUGUGUGUCAGUGGAACGGUCUGGAAAGGCCGGCGAUACAGGGUGACAGCCCCGUACACGAAGGCACACAGGCUGUGAGCUCGAUGAGUAGGGCGGGACACGUGAUAUCCUGUCUGAAGAUGGGGGGACCAUCCUCCAAGGCUAAAUACUCCUGACUGACCGAUAGUGAACCAGUACCGUGAGGGAAAGGCGAAAAGAACCCCGGCGAGGGGAGUGAAACAGAACCUGAAACCGUGUACGUACAAGCAGUGGGAGCCUUCGUAAGAGGGUGACUGCGUACCUUUUGUAUAAUGGGUCAGCGACUUAUAUUCUGUAGCAAGGUUAACCGUAUAGGGGAGCCGAAGGGAAACCGAGUCUUAACCGGGCGUUAAGUUGCAGGGUAUAGACCCGAAACCCGGUGAUCUAGCCAUGGGCAGGUUGAAGGUUGGGUAACACUAACUGGAGGACCGAACCGACUAAUGUUGAAAAAUUAGCGGAUGACCUGUGGCUGGGGGUGAAAGGCCAAUCAAACCGGGAGAUAGCUGGUUCUCCCCGAAAGCUAUUUAGGUAGCGCCUCGUGAACUCAUCUCCGGGGGUAGAGCACUGUUUCGGCUAGGGGGCCAUCCCGGCUUACCAACCCGAUGCAAACUGCGAAUACCGGAGAAUGUUAUCACGGGAGACACACGGCGGGUGCUAACGUCCGUCGUGAAGAGGGAAACAACCCAGACCGCCAGCUAAGGUCCCAAAGUCAUGGUUAAGUGGGAAACGAUGUGGGAAGGCCCAGACAGCCAGGAUGUUGGCUUAGAAGCAGCCAUCAUUUAAAGAAAGCGUAAUAGCUCACUGGUCGAGUCGGCCUGCGCGGAAGAUGUAACGGGGCUAAACCAUGCACCGAAGCUGCGGCAGCGACACUCUGUGUUGUUGGGUAGGGGAGCGUUCUGUAAGCCUGUGAAGGUGUGCUGUGAGGCAUGCUGGAGGUAUCAGAAGUGCGAAUGCUGACAUAAGUAACGAUAAAGCGGGUGAAAAGCCCGCUCGCCGGAAGACCAAGGGUUCCUGUCCAACGUUAAUCGGGGCAGGGUGAGUCGACCCCUAAGGCGAGGCCGAAAGGCGUAGUCGAUGGGAAACAGGUUAAUAUUCCUGUACUUGGUGUUACUGCGAAGGGGGGACGGAGAAGGCUAUGUCGGCCGGGCGACGGUUGUCCCGGUUUAAGCGUGUAGGCUGACUUUCCAGGCAAAUCCGGAAAGUUAAGGCUGAGGCGUGAUGACGAGGCACCACGGUGCUGAAGUGACAAAUGCCCUGCUUCCAGGAAAAGCCUCUAAGCAUCAGGUAACAUCAAAUCGUACCCCAAACCGACACAGGUGGUCAGGUAGAGAAUACCAAGGCGCUUGAGAGAACUCGGGUGAAGGAACUAGGCAAAAUGGUGCCGUAACUUCGGGAGAAGGCACGCUGACAUGUAGGUGAAGCCCCUGCGGGUGGAGCUGAAGUCAGUCGAAGAUACCAGCUGGCUGCAACUGUUUAUUAAAAACACAGCACUGUGCAAACACGAAAGUGGACGUAUACGGUGUGACGCCUGCCCGGUGCCGGAAGGUUAAUUGAUGGGGUUAUCGCAAGAGAAGCUCCUGAUCGAAGCCCCGGUAAACGGCGGCCGUAACUAUAACGGUCCUAAGGUAGCGAAAUUCCUUGUCGGGUAAGUUCCGACCUGCACGAAUGGCGUAAUGAUGGCCAGGCUGUCUCCACCCGAGACUCAGUGAAAUUGAACUCGCUGUGAAGAUGCAGUGUACCCGCGGCAAGACGGAAAGACCCCGUGAACCUUUACUACAGCUUGACACUGAACAUUGAGCCUUGAUGUGUAGGAUAGGUGGGAGGCUUUGAAGCGUGGACGCCAGUCUGCGUGGAGCCGACCUUGAAAUACCACCCUUUAAUGUUUGAUGUUCUAACCUGGCGCCGUAAUCCGGCGUGGGGACAGUGUCUGGUGGGUAGUUUGACUGGGGCGGUCUCCUCCCAAAGUGUAACGGAGGAGCACGAAGGUCAGCUAAUCCUGGUCGGACAUCAGGAGGUUAGUGCAAUGGCAUAAGCUGGCUUGACUGCGAGAGUGACGGCUCGAGCAGGUGCGAAAGCAGGUCAUAGUGAUCCGGUGGUUCUGUAUGGAAGGGCCAUCGCUCAACGGAUAAAAGGUACUCCGGGGAUAACAGGCUGAUACCGCCCAAGAGUUCAUAUCGACGGCGGUGUUUGGCACCUCGAUGUCGGCUCAUCACAUCCUGGGGCUGAAGUAGGUCCCAAGGGUAUGGCUGUUCGCCAUUUAAAGUGGUACGCGAGCUGGGUUUAGAACGUCGUGAGACAGUUCGGUCCCUAUCUGCCGUGGGCGCUGGAGAAUUGAGGGGGGCUGCUCCCAGUACGAGAGGACCGGAGUGGACGCAUCACUGGUGUUCGGGUUGUCAUGCCAAUGGCACUGCCCGGUAGCUAAAUGCGGAAGAGAUAAGUGCUGAAAGCAUCUAAGCACGAAACUUGCCCCGAGAUGAGUUCUCCCUGAGACUAUAAGUCUCCUGAAGGAACGUUGAAGACGACGACGUUGAUAGGCCGGGUGUGUAAGCGCAGCGAUGCGUUGAGCUAACCGGUACUAAUGAACCGUGAGGCUUAACCUU